rnacentral:rRNA from 1 species
CCACCCCGUAAACGUUGGGAACUAGUUGUGGGGUCCAUUCCACGGAUUCCGUGACGCAGCUAACGCAUUAAGUUCCCCGCCUGGGGAGUACGGCCGCAAGGCUAAAACUCAAAGGAAUUGACGGGGACCCGCACAAGCGGCGGAGCAUGCGGAUUAAUUCGAUGCAACGCGAAGAACCUUACCAAGGCUUGACAUAUACGAGAACGGGCCAGAAAUGGUCAACUCUUUGGACACUCGUAAACAGGUGGUGCAUGGUUGU